UACGGUAGGGUGCAAGCGUUGUCCGGAAUUAUUGGGCGUAAAGAGCUCGUAGGUGGCCUGUCGCGUCGGCUGUGAAAACUCCGGGGCUCAACUCCGAGGCUUGCAGUCGAUACGGGCAGGCUAGAGUUCGGCAGGGGAGACUGGAAUUCCUGGUGUAGCGGUGAAAUGCGCAGAUAUCAGGAGGAACACCGGUGGCGAAGGCGGGUCUCUGGGCCGAUACUGACACUGAGGAGCGAAAGCGUGGGGAGCGAACAGG
rnacentral:rRNA from 1 species